UUCGGCAGGUGAAAAGGGAACACGGUGAGAAUCCGUGACGGUACCAGCCGCUGUAUGCACCGAAGAGUUUUUAUGCGUUGACGAAAGUCAGUCAUUGGGGAAACCCCGGAGAAGGCAGUGUAAAAACGCGUUAGCUUAUGCUUAUACGGUGCGAGUCAAAAGACCUGCUUUGA
rnacentral:ncRNA from 1 species